UCUGUCGUACAAGCAUUGUUAACGUCAAUUUUUCUGUUCUGGUUCAGUUCUGGUUAUUAACAAAUAUACAAUAAAUAAAUUAAAUUUUAUUAAUUGAUAUAUAAAUUGAAAUAUAGAACUUUUAAGAACUUACGUGUGGAGUCUGUUAUUUUUGUAUCCAAUUUGUGUAUAUAAUAGUUAAAUUUUCAAAGUUAAGACCAAGGUUAGAAUUGUCAAUUUGGUUUGAUUAAUAAAUAAAUUUAUUAAUAAAUGAUAGAUUAAUAAAUUUUUUGAACCAUUGUAUAUUAAAAUGCUGUUAUUUUUUUUUACUAUAUUGAAAAGUAACUUUUUCAAUUAACAUGAAAUAUCAUUGUGACAAAAUAUCAUAGUUUAUAUUCUACAAAGAAAAUGGGAAGAAUAUGUAUCGUUCGAAAUUGUAAUGGAGGAAAGAAUGAUAAUAAAACUGAAGGACCUCACAUUACUCUUUUUAGUGUACCAAAGGAUCCAGUACUUUUUGAUGCUUGGAAGUCGAAUCUUCCAGAGCUUCGAAAGCCUUUAAGUACUUCAUGUUAUGUUUGUGAAAAACAUUUCCAUCCAAGUGAUAUAUUAUCUCAUUACACACAUAAAUUAUCAACAAAUAUAUGGACUUAUUCUCGGGGCUUGAAGCAAUUAAAGCCCAAAGCUGUUCCUAUAGUUUCCAAUAACAGUGUGACUGUAGAUGAUACAAUGAUACAUGAUCAGCAUCACAGUGUUGAAAAUUCAAACACCAACGAAAAAAAUACUGAUGUCGAAAUUGAAUCCUCAAUAUGUACAAUUAACUCAAAUAAUAAUCAUUCAAGUGGUCCAAGUGUAUUAAAUGAAAAAGAUACUUUAAAUGAUGAUACCAUGGAAGUCCAAGAAAUACAAAACAAAAAGUAUAAAUCCGAAGUAUCAUUUAGUUUUGAUUCUUUAAUUGAAAAUUUAGACACUAUAACAUAUUCGAAAGGAUGCAGAUGGAGUUAUACAAUUACAUCUGAUAAAAAAAAGAUUAUUUUUGUAUCGUCUCCAUCUGAUGGUAUUUUACGACGAGUUGAUAUAUAUUCUAAUCUGUCUACUAAUGUUAUAAUGGAUUGUAUUCUUGUUCCUCAAAAGCAUUUACCUGAUCGAUUCAAAAAUAUAGAUGAAAUUAUUGAGUUUUUAACAAUAGUUUACAAUUGGAAUUUAUGUCUAACUCUGAAAAAUUCAAACAGAUUUAUUCAUGAUGGUGUUUGUGAGGCCAUUGCUCCAAAUAAUGAAAAUUUUUUAGGUCGAAGACGUCUUAGAUGUAUGCCUUGUGUCUUAAGACGAGAAUCUAAGCAAUGUCAAAAUCUUGAUAAACAAAUUAAACAAGAAAAGAAAUCUUUAAAAGUUUUAAAUCAAAAAGUGAGAAGAUAUAAGAAAAAGAUUGUAACACUUGAAGCACAUGUUCAUGAUUUAUGGGACUCAAAAGAGUAUAAUUGAAAUAUGUAGAAGUUCAAUCCUUUUUCCUCCCAAAAAAUUAUAAAAAGAUUGUUAAGAAAUGACUCGUAUUGAAAGAAAGUAUUGAAAAAAAAAUUGAAAUUCCGUUGACAUAUCUAAUUAACUAACUUAUACUAUUAAUCACAAUUGCACCUGUUUUGUGCAAAAGUGUUUAUAUUUUGGCUGCACUGCGCAGUAUGUUAUUAUUCAUGGAGUUUAACAAGGAGGGUAAUCUGUGACGUCACACUGUGUAUUGGCAUAGGGAGCCAAUUUAUUUAUUCUUUAGUUUUUGGUAAAUAUGGCAUUAUUUUUUCAAGUAUUUCGAUGGGGUAUUUUGAAAAGCCGAACAUCAUUUUCCAUAAGAGCCUAUGUUUAACCUCAAAAAAAGGACCAUCUUUAACAGUUAAUUAAUAAAAAAAACAUCUUAUAACAAAAAAUCUGAUUAAAGAAAAGGGUGUAUCGUUAUUUCAAUUAUCUACUCUAUAAAAUUCGUGAAAUCGUCAUUAUUUUUAAUUUUCCCUGGUUGUACCUUAACACAGUUAAAAGCCAGAGUUUACACUCCUUAUUCACCUUCAUGGAGAAUGGAGAUUGAUGGAGAUUAAUUAAUUUCUGGUAAUAAGUGGUAUUGCAUUUAAAAAGCCUUGCUUUAGAAAAUAUAUGCAAUAAAAUUCCAAUGAGAGUUACCCUGGUAGAAAUAUUUCUCCGACUUUUCUCCAACUUUUCUCCGCCAUUUCUCCACUUCUUUACGAAAAUGACCCAUAGUUGGAGAAAUGGUGGACAAAUUGCUCCAACCUUUCUCCAACCAAAAAUUUACUCCAACUUUCUUCCAACUUUUUUCCGACUUUUCUCCAACUUUUUUUCGCCAUUUCUCCAACCUGAAAUUUACUCCAACUUCUUUCCAACUUUUCUCCAACCAUGGGUCAUUUUCGUAAAAAGGUGGAGAAAGUUGGAAAAAAGGCGGAGAAAGUUGGAAAAAGUUGGAGAAAUAUUUCUACCAGGGGUGUGUUGGUCAAAAAUAAUAGUUUUAAAACAGUUUCGAAAAAAAUAAAAACAACAGAAGAAUAAUCAUUUUCAAUAAAACUCUUGAAAAUCUCAGAAUAUAUAUCCUGAAAAAAAUUAAAUAUAGAUCUAAAUAGAUGUGUUGCCGUAGAUUUGUCCGUCAAGCGCAUUUAUAUGGGAAAAAUUCGACUCACAGAAGAAAAUGAUAGAAUUUAUAAUUUAUUCAAUAAUUCAAUUGAAAAAAAAAUAUUCCAUCUACAAUAGACAGAUGCAAUAAUUCAAUUGAAUAAUACAAUUUCUAAUCCAACAAAUGAAUCAACAAAUAAUUCUCAAAUGCAUAAAUUGGCAUUAAAAAUAGUUGAUAAUCCACAAGAAUUAAUGAUCGAACAACAUCUUCAAAUAUCAGUUGAGCCAAAUUGCAUGGAAGAAAUAUUAUUAUUUAGGUUACCACAAAAAAAAAUAUUAUGUUAACAAGAUAUCCCGAGAUGAAAUUUUGUCUCUGAAAACAGCCUCCGAAAACUCUGCAGCCUUUAAACACAGCUGUCUCUAAAGUGGAUAAAUCAAAGUAGUUCAGAGAAAUUCUUCAGAAAUCAACGUCGAGAAGAAAAUUUUUCCACUCAUUUCUCCGCAUAGGUCAACUUGGAAAAAAUUCG
rnacentral:misc_RNA from 1 species